CACUCUCUAUAUAUACACAGUGGUUUACUGCUACCCUGCAUGUCCAAAAAGUUACAUUUUGGUUAAAAACAUUUACAAAUACGACUCAAAUAUGACGUCUGCAAAGUAAAAUCUUCAUAAUGCAAUUCUUUCUUUCUUUUUUCUUUUUUUUUAUCUGCCCGAAGCCAAAGUCUGUGUCGUUUGUGCCACUUAGGAAUGUGGAUAAGUGCAUGCAAAACACACAGACACAAACAUUAGCACCAGCACAACCUCUAAAACUCUUCUUCCCCAGCGUACCUCCCUCUGCCUUCAUCCACUGUGACUUUUCAGCCUGUUUUAUAGACCUGUUUGUUUUCAUUCUACUCGCUAAUACACUCUUGUGCACAGCGCAGACUUAGUUCCUCUUAAACAACAUAUGAAAUGCAGCGUUCAACUUGGACUUGUCUUCCAAAACAUACUGUCACCAUCGAUGUAAAAACAAGGUGCUUUAGCUUGUUCCUCAUGGUGGAGCGAUUCCUGGAGCAGUUCCCUGCUAUACAGGCAUCUCCAUGGACUCGGUUUAAGAAAUCAAUGGAGAAAGACAGACUGCCGAGAGGUACUGAUGAGGAUUAAAGAAAUGCAGAACGUUAAAAAGAUACUUUACACUUAAACCCUCUCUGCUGAAAGGAGCGCAACCUUGGGUAAGAUUCUGCCAAUCUUAAAUAAACUCCAGCACCACUUCACAGUUAAUGAAGAGGACUCCCCCUUCACAAAAACUAUCAUGGACACUGUGAAUUCUUAAAAAGAUACCAGGAUAGCAACAUCAGACAGUUCUUGGAGGAGGGCAAGGCCUUGGAUCCCAGAUUCAAGUCAACAGUGGCAGAUAAAGUGUGGACCAGACUAGGGUUGCAGCCUAGUCUGGAACGAGAACGAGAAGGACCUCAGAACAGACUCGGACCAUUCAGAAUCAAAGAGAGAGCAUGUGACCAAGAUGACAGCUCAUUUGAUAAAGACAGUGCAUCUGCAGCAACAACACUAAAGAGGCCAAGGUUUUCUGCCAUUGAGGAGCUGUUUGCUGUGGAUGACAUGGCAGUUAAAGCGAGAACACAGACCACUCAGCACAACAGAGAAGAUUCAGACAGAGAUAAAUCUGUACAGACUGCUUCCUACACUGUCCAGUGAGUCCAGUAACCUGGUGGUGGGACAUGAAGGACACUCUGCUGAUGCUUACAGAUUUGGCAACAAGGUAUCUCUGUGCAGCAUCCACACCCUUAGAGCGUACAUUUUCCACUGCUGUGGACAUUAUCAGUCAAGAGCAGGUUUGUCUGUCUCCUGAAAAAGCAGACAUGCAAUUUUUUCUGAAGAAGAACUGCUGAGUUAAUCAAAGAUUUUGAGCCUCAUAUAUACUGACCUAAAUAUGCCUAAACUUUAUUAAAACUGUGAUUAAAACUGUUUGCACUGA